rnacentral:rRNA from 1 species
AGGACGAACGCUGGCGGCGUGCCUAACACAUGCAAGUCGAGCGGAGUUAACAAGAGGAAGUUUCGGGUGGAAUUUGUUAAUUAGCGGCGGACGGGUGAGUAACGCGUGAGCGACCAACCUUGCACAGGGGGAUAACGGACCGAAAGGUUCACUAAUACCGCAUGAGACCACGGUGUUGCAUGACACAGAGGUCAAAGGAGCAAUCCGGUGCAAGACGGGCUCGCGUCCGAUUAGGUAGUUGGUGGGGUAAUGGCCCACCAAGCCUAUGAUCAGUAGCCGACCUGAGAGGGUGAUCGGCCACAUUGGAACUGAGAUACGGUCCAAACUCCUACGGGAGGCAGCAGUGGGGAAUAUUGGGCAAAUGGGGGAAACCCUGACCCAGCAACGCCGCGUGAAGGAAGAAGGUUUUCGGAUUGUAAACUUCUGUCCUUGGUGAAGAGAAGAAGACGGUAGCCAAGGAGGAAGCCCCGGCUAACUACGUGCCAGCAGCGGC